AAUAUUGCACAAUGGGCGCAAGCCUGAUGCAGCGACGCCGCGUGAGCGAUGAAGUAUUUCGGUAUGUAAAGCUCUAUCAGCAGGGAAGAUAAUGACGGUACCUGACUAAGAAGCUCCGGCUAAAUACGUGCCAGCAGCCGCGGUAAUACGUGUGGAGCAAGCGUUAUCCGGAUUUACUGGGUGUAAAGGGAGCGUAGGCGGUCUAUUAAGUCUGAUGUGAAAACCUUGGGCUCAACUCAAGGCCUGCGUUGGAAACUGGUGGACUGGAGUGUCGGAGGGGCAAGUGGAAUUCCUAGUGUAGCGGUGAAAUGCGUAGAUAUUAGGAGGAACACCAGUGGCGAAGGCGGCUUGCUGGACGAUAACUGACGCUGAGGCUCGAAAGCGUGGGGAGCAAACAGG
rnacentral:rRNA from 1 species